rnacentral:lncRNA from 1 species
GUUUUACUCAAAUAAUGAUUCUUGGGCCAUCUGCCUCAGAGUCUGUGGAGAUAAGUUCCGAAAAUCUGCAUUUUAAAUAAGCUGGAGCGCAUUUGAUCAGAGCCGGCUGUGAUUUUUUGCGGCUGCCUGGAUUACUGGGACUGAGGUUCACCAGACAGACAGAUGCUAGUCAGUGCGAUCCUACAGUGUUCAAGCUAGGGUACAGAAGACAUGCCCAACAAAAACUUCCUGAAUCAAUGAAGUGAGAGGUGAUAUCAGAAGACAAGCCCAAAGUGAGAUGGGAAGCCAUUCCUGAUGACCUAAUCUACAGAAUGAAACCCCUCCCCCAUUGUUCUAUUUCAUAGCACCCUGUUCACAGUUUGUAAUUGUACACUCACCAGGUUGUUUACUUGAUUGACGGCUGUCUUCCUCGUGGAUCAUGAACUCUGUGAAAGCGGGAAUCAGAGCUGUUUUGCAGCAUGCCCAACAUCUAGGGGAGUACCGGGAAGCAGGAGGCAUUCAGUAAAUACUGAUGGAGUCAAUGUAUUAUACAUUAUAUUAUCUUAUAUAUAUAUUAUGCAAUAUAUAAUGUAUAUGUUCUAUGGAGUAAAUAUUAUGGAG